GAGCGGGAUGAAUAGCUAUUGAAAGCAGGCCGAGGUGAUGCUAGGGGCGGGACGCACUUAGGCAGAGUGGGAGUCGUGAAAUGGUGGUCGUAUCUAUUGCUGGAGAGCUUUUGAAGGCUGAGCUGAGAACUUUAGACCACCUUAUUCAGCCAUAAGACAAUAAACUGGUGUGCUAGAUCUUGGUUUGUAGCUCCCAAAGGGAUUUGUUUCUCACCGAUGCUAUACUAUUAAAACAGUUCCGUCUUAGUGUCCAUCAAUAAACACAAAAGCUUUCUUGGCUGCCUCUUCCUUCUAAUUUCUUUAAGAUGCUCCUUUUUCAUCUUCUCCUGGAGGUGAAAUUGGGACGCUCUCACAACUUGGACUCAGCUUAAAUUUAGGCUACGGGGCAGUUUGUUUUCUGUCUUCUAGACUCGUACGAGGUAUUGAUUUAUUCAUGAUGGUCUUUUCUGUGUGUGUCAUGUUUUGCAGAAUGAAUCUCGUAUUCUUCGUGUCAAGGUCAUUGCUGGCAUUGAUCUGGCGAAGAAGGACAUCAUUGGUGCCAGAUUGCUUGACAGCACGAGUCUGUAUCUGAGGCUGGCGUGUUUGGUUCAUGAGUACCAUGCUACAUCUGUGCUAAUUAAAGCAGAAGACAUGCAGCUGAGCAAAUGGAUGCCACAAGGCACCAUCGACAGAUGUCUGAACGGAGAAAGUGAGGAGGAUUUGAAUAGACAAAAUCUGUAGGCUCCACACAGAACAUCUCUCUCAUUUUCUACCUCCUUUCACCUAGAUGACCCACUCAUGUAAUGAAAAGCAAAAUAUACCUUAUGAAACAAUGAUUUAUUAUCUUUUAUUUGUAUUUAAAUUUAUUUCUGUAUUUUAUUUCAAAUGUUUUUAAUAAAUGCCACAACAAACACAAACAUCACUGUAGUUUAGAAGAGUAUAUUUAUUCCCCUUGGUUAAAAGCCUUACAUUUGUUAACAUCCGCAAGUAAUUUCUGAAUGUUUUUGGCUAUGCUAAAAUCAGUCUCUCAGAGAGCCUCCCCUCUGUAAAUGAUAGCAAAAGCUGACCUACUUAUAAAAAAAAAAUAUAAGAAAGUACAGUCUCUCAGAGGAGCCUCCCCUCUGUAAAUGAUAGCAAAAGCUGACCUCUUAUAAAAAAAAAUAAUAGAAAGAAAAGGAGCAUGAUAUCUGGUCUAUUUCAGAUUUAAAAGUGAUAUGAAGCAUAUUGCUUUAAUGUAGUCUUGGCAGAAGGUUCUGCAGAAAAGUGAGUCCCUUCCUGUUUUUUUUUUUUUUUUUUUUUUGGGCAGUAAAGAGCUAACAGUUAAGAGCUUUCACUUAUUUGGUAUGUGUUUUCUUUUUUUCUUUGCCAGUAAAGAGCUAAAAAUUAAGUGUUUCACAGAUUUUACUUAAUUGGUAUGGAUUUUAUUUUAUUUUUAAUUUGAUUUUAAUUUAUAUUUUAUUUUAUUUUUCUUGCGUUAAUAUGAACAAAAAAGAUUUUGUGGUAUCAAAUAAACAGUCUGUCAGUCUGUUUUUGGCUUUGGAUUCUUUUAUCCAUAUAUUUGUUUCAGUAGUAUUUUAGUUUUUGUUCAUCUUUGUUGUUAUCCAAGCGUUCUUAAACCUUGUGUUGUCAUUUGACAGCAGAUUGCUAUCAGCCUUAAAAGUCCUUGAAAAAUGUCAAUGAAGCUGCAGUUUUUGCACAUGCAGUCGAUAAUCCUGUUCACCUUUAGUUUACUUGAAUCAGCUGAGAUCAGUGAGUUGAGUGUGUUUUCAAAGAGUCCCCCUUUUGAUUUGUAGUUUCUUCUGUUCUCCUCUCAUUUCAGUUUUUUGCACACAAUCAAGUACCGAGCCAAGUCCCCUGUGACAAAGUCGCCCAUCUCUAUGGUAACGGUGCACACUGUUAGUGUCCCUAUGACACCUGAGCGGCUCCGUGGCCUUUAACACAAGAAAAUGGGACAGUGAUUUGGGCGUCUGGGGUUUCUCUAGUGCUGGCCAAGAGAAUCAAAGAUCCAAGAAAGCCCAAAGCAGACAGAUUUUUCUGAAUCUUGCCUCUGUCUACAUGCUAUUCGCAGAAUGAUUUAGCCAUUUUUUCAGUUGUUUUAUACGUUUUUAUAUUCAUAUGCUUUACUUUUAUCUGCACACAUAAAUACGUCACUCAUCACUUUUUUUGAUCGUCUCCUGGAAAUGAAAUUUCCAUUUAUAGCCAGAGAAUAUCCAUCUGUUCAAAAUGCACAAUAUGUUUACAAAGGUAAGAGCGUCCAGUCUCAAAAGUGGUAUAUUGUUUUAUCCUAAUCAAGAAAGCCAAAUCCUUGCAUAAACAUUCAAUUAGAGGCGACUGGAAAUCCAGACACUGCAAUUAAAAUCCGGAGAAGGCAGUUUUCAGCUGCACAACAGACUAAAGAAAAGGAAAGCAAGGGAAGCAAAACAACUGUUCCAGAAGCCAGUGAACUUGACUUUCAGGCUUAAACGUACAUUUGCAUAUUUCACAUUAAAUAAAAAAAGUGCAUACUGCUGGUGAUGCUAAAUUACAUCAGCUAAAGUGUCAAUAUUGGGUUGCUAUGAUAUCAUGAGAUUGUUUCCAAACUACAUAAUUUAAAAGGUAAUGAUAGUUUGAGACUGGAAAUUGGGAUUCGACCAUACUUUCAUGUGUUUUCACCCUAACAUGGACAAAAACAUAUAGAUCUUGUUAUCUGUAUAUGUGAGACCAUGCUGUAGUGGAUGUAGGGGAAAGGUGUCGGUUAGUCUUAUAAACCAGCAUGAAAACACCCACUAAACCCUUACGGAGAGUAAACCACCUUGGAUUCAGUCAAAUCAGCAGUUUCUAGUAACACAACCUGCCAUUUUUCCUUUCCCUUUUAAGUUUUCUGUAAAUUCAGUAAAAUUCUGUCAAGUUUUUAUAAAAAACAACCUUGACUUGAACUUUGUGUUUGUUGUUGUGAAAGUCUUCACAUCUCCUUGUCACUGUAAUCUCUUUAAGGUUUCAGGUGUAAAAUUCCAUAUGGAAACAUAGGGUGCGUCUCAGUCAGCUCCCUUGUUUUGUAGUCAGCGCACUGAUCAGGGAAUCUGCCAUUUUAAGGGCUGUCUCAAGUGCGAAAGCCUUCCAGUGCACUGGAACGUUCGCUCCCUGAAAAAUCCCACAAUGCACUGCAAAUUCUAGGGAGCCUUGCUCACUAUGUUUGUUUACUGGAAAUAACGUAAGCGAAGAUUUGAAAAGACCCUCCAUAGACAGCAAUGCAUCUACAAUGUUCCCAGGUCCAGAAAUGUAGGAAGGACAUCAGUAAAAUAGUCCAUGUGACAUCAGUGGUUCAACCGUAAUUUUACAAAGCUGCGAGAAUACUUUUUGUGUGCAACGAAAACAGUAAUAACAUAAUUUAUUCAACAAUUAUUUUCCCCGAGUUACAUUCUUCCGACAUCUUGGAGAGUACCCCAGAAUGUUAUCAACGUAAUCAGCGUUGUUUAUGUUCAGUAGACAGUGCGCGCAUGCUGAACGUAAACAACACUGAUUAUAUUGAUAACGGCAUGAGGGUGAGUAUUUAAUGACAGAAUUUUCAUUUUUGGGUGAACUAACCCUUCAAUUCCAGUGGUGAUGUUUUACUAUGUUGUCUGUUGAUGUUCUACGUCACUGGAAAUGGAGUGGUCACUGUCCCAAUAUGCAGUG
rnacentral:lncRNA from 1 species